rnacentral:rRNA from 1 species
AGUGAACGCUGGUGGUAGGCCUAACACAUGCAAGUCGAACGGCAGCACAGUAAGAGCUUGCUCUUACGGGUGGCGAGUGGCGGACGGGUGAGGAAUACAUCGGAAUCUACUUUUUCGUGGGGGAUAACGUAGGGAAACUUACGCUAAUACCGCAUACGAUCUACGGGUGAAAGCAGGGGAUCUUCGGACCUUGCGCGAUUGAAUGAGCCGAUGUCGGAUUAGCUAGUUGGCGGGGUAAAGGCCCACCAAGGCGACGAUCCGUAGCUGGUCUGAGAGGAUGAUCAGCCACACUGGAACUGAGACACGGUCCAGACUCCUACGGGAGGCAGCAGUGGGGAAUAUUGGACAAUGGGCGCAAGCCUGAUCCAGCCAUACCGCGUGGGUGAAGAAGGCCUUCGGGUUGUAAAGCCCUUUUGUUGGGAAAGAAAAGCAGCAGGUUAAUACCCCGCUGUUCUGACGGUACCCAAAGAAUAAGCACCGGCUAACUUCGUG